rnacentral:rRNA from 1 species
AUGUCGGUCGGCGCAUCAUUAGUUGAAGUUCGCAAGGCAGCACGGUAGCAAUACUGGUGGCGACCGGCGCACGGGUGCGUAACACGUAUACAAUCUGCCUUUAACAGGGGGAUAGCCUUUCGAAAGAGAGAUUAAUACCCCAUAAUAGUAGAGGAGGCAUCUCCUUUAUUUGAAAGCUACGGCGGUUAAAGAUGAGUAUGCGGAUGAUUAGCUAGAUGGUGAGGUAACGGCUCACCAUGGCGACGAUCAAUAGGGGAUCUGAGAGGACUACCCCCCACACUGGUACUGAGACACGGACCAGACUCCUACGGGAGGCAGCAGUAAGGAAUAUUGGACAAUGCUCGCAAGAGUGAUCCAGCCAUGCCGCGUGCAGGAAGACGGCCCUAUGGGUUGUAAACUGCUUUUGAACUAGAGAAAACCCUCCUACGUGUAGGAGGCUGAUAGUAUAGUUAGAAUAAGCAUCGGCUAACUUCGUGCCAGCAGCCGCGGUAAGACGAAGGAUGCAAGCGUUAUCCGGAUUCAUUGGGUUUAAAGGGAGCGUAGGUGGAUUUGUAAGUCAGUGGUGAAAGCCGGCAGCUUAACUGUCGAACUGCCAUUGAUACUGCAGAUCUUGAGUAUGGUUGCUGUGGGCGGAAUAUGACAUGUAGAGGUGAAAUUCAUAGAGAUGUCAUAGAACACCGAUUGCGAAGGCAGCUCACAAAGCCAUUACUGACACUGAGGCUCGAAAGUGCGGGGAUCAAACAGGAUUAGAUACCCUGGUAGUCCGCACUGUAAACGAUGAUUACUCGCUGCUAGGAGGUAACUUUUAGUGGCUAAGCGAAAGCGAUAAGUAAUCCACCUGGGGAGUACGCCGGCAACGGUGAAACUCAAAGGAAUUGACGGGGGCCCGCACAAGCGGAGGAGCAUGUGGUUUAAUUCGAUGAUACGCGAGGAACCUUACCAGGGCUUGAAAGUUAGGGAAUGAUUUUGAAAGAAGUCAGUCAGCAAUGACCCGAAACUAGGUGCUGCAUGGCUGUCGUCAGCUCGUGCCGUGAGGUGUUGGGUUAAGUCCCGCAACGAGCGCAACCCUCGUUCUUAGUUGCCAGCAUUAAGUUGGGGACUCUAAGGAGACUGCCGGUGACAAACCGGAGGAAGGUGGGGAUGACGUCAAGUCAGCAUGCCCCUUACGUCUUGGGCGACACACGUACUACAAUGGUCGGGACAAAGGGCAGCGAACUCGCGAGAGCCAGCGAAUCCCAGCAAACCCGGCCUCAGUUCAGAUUGCAGGCUGCAACUCGCCUGCAUGAAGGAGGAAUCGCUAGUAAUCGCCGGUCAGCAUACGGCG